AACGUAGGACGCAAGCGUUAUCCGGAGUUACUGGGCGUAAAGCGCGGGCAGGCGGUCUUGCCAGUCUGAUGUGAAAUCUCUCAGCUCAACUGGGAGCAGCCAUUGGAAACUACAAGACUGGAGUCUGGCAGAGGUAGGCGGAAUUCCGGGUGGAGUGGUGAAAUGCGUAGAGAUCCGGAGGAACACCAGAGGCGAAGGCGGCCUACUGGGCCAGUACUGACGCUGAGCCGCGAAAGCCAGGGGAGCCGGAACGGGAUUAAGAAACCCCGUGUAACGUCCA
rnacentral:rRNA from 1 species